CGUGCAAUUUAAAUCCAAGCGAUUCUGGAAGGUGUACGUUACCUACGGGUGCCACUGUGUGAAUCGCUUCACGUUCUGUUAUGGGAUGUGCUGAGUGGUCUCCGGAUUUUUUGCUGCAGCAUACACAUGCGUCAACCAGUUCCGAAUAUUCGCUCCGGUGUGUUCUUGUCCUUAGGCAACCAGCUCGAGCCUCAACUAGCAAGACACUUCGCUGUGUGUUAUUGUACAGAUUUUCCCUUCUAAUUUCUUUCUUCCCAUCCUUGUAAAUCUUCCGUGAUCUUUUCUGUUUCCAUUCCUUGCAUCCGAUUCACUGCCUCUUUCUCUCACUUCUUUUUUUGAUGACUCCUGGUUGUCUCGUUAAGCUUUCAAUUACCCCGUACUUGGUCGCCAAAUUUCUUGACCUCUUCCUCCAUUCUGUGUCCACGCUUGUCGGCCGUCCCAGGCCGUCGUCAUCGGGCUGCCGUCAUUGUGUCAAUGUCAUCCCUUAAAAUUCUCAUUCCACACGUGUCAUGACAUCGUCAUCAUACCACCUUCGCACACCGGCGCAGUGGGGCCUUAGCAAAUCCACUACAACGGGCACAGUCAGGGAGCCCAGACGGGGAAGCUUCUUCGUAAAGGACAUCAAGCAGCUCAUGGGACGGCUCGUCGGACGCAUCACCGGUCAGUACGGCGGUCCGCGGCGCCAGUCCAGCAGAACCACCUCUGGAUGCUGGCCACGAUCGCUCAUCGCGGUGCAGGUCGAUGCUUCAUUCCGUGCCGAUGCUGAAGCUGUCUUCGCCACCUCGUCGAGCGCACUGGAGAAUAACUGCAGAGGGUGAACCUCCAUAGGAAGGCCACCACGUCCUCAGGCGUCAGUGGCCGGCACAACCAGGUCGUCCUCGUGCUCGAUUUCUGCGCCACUGACGCAGUCAGGUUCGCCAGCGCUUGACUCUGCAGGGACAGGUCCCCCUGCGAGCUGCGGCGGUGGCGAGGAAUCCCCAAAACGGUAGCCGUCACUGAUGUUGGCUUUCGCGGCGAAAGCCGUCUUCGCGCCAUCUAGACAUGUCUGGAGCCGGGACCCAACCUCGUCACGAAGCAUGGCUUGGUGCGCAAGGAAAAAAAGAAA